rnacentral:rRNA from 1 species
UGGGGAAUAUUGGACAAUGGGCGAAAGCCUGAUCCAGCAAUGCCGCGUGAGUGAUGACGGCCUUAGGGUUGUAAAGCUCUUUCAGUAGGGAAGAUAAUGACGGUACCUACAGAAGAAGCACCGGCUAACUCCGUGCCAGCAGCCGCGGUAAUACGGAGGGUGCUAGCGUUGUUCGGAAUUACUGGGCGUAAAGCGCGCGUAGGCGGCUUCGCAAGUUGGAAGUGAAAUCCCAGGGCUUAACCCUGGAACUGCUUCCAAAACUGCAAAGCUAGAGUUCGGUAGGGGACAGUGGAAUUCCUAGUGUAGAGGUGAAAUUCGUAGAUAUUAGGAGGAACACCAGAGGCGAAAGCGACUGUCUGGACCGAUACUGACGCUAAGGCGCGAAAGCGUGGGGAGCAAACAGG